GUGGGUAGAGCUCAGUGGUAGAGCGCGUGCUUAGCAUGCACGAGGUCCUGGGUUCAAUCCCCAGUGCCUCCA
rnacentral:tRNA from 1 species